rnacentral:rRNA from 1 species
AACGAACGCUGGCGGCAGGCUUAACACAUGCAAGUCGAACGAUGCCUUCGGGCAUAGUGGCGCACGGGUGAGUAACACGUGGGAAUAUACCUUUUGGUGGGGGAUAACGUCGGGAAACUGACGCUAAUACCGCAUAAGCCCUUCGGGGGAAAGAUUUAUCGCCGAAAGAUUAGCCCGCGUCCGAUUAGCUAGUUGGUGAGGUAAUGGCUCACCAAGGCGACGAUCGGUAGCUGGUCUGAGAGGAUGAUCAGCCACACUGGGACUGAGACACGGCCCAGACUCCUACGGGAGGCAGCAGUGGGGAAUAUUGGACAAUGGGGGCAACCCUGAUCCAGCCAUGCCGCGUGAGUGAUGAAGGCCUUAGGGUUGUAAAGCUCUUUCACCCACGACGAUGAUGACGGUAGUGGGAGAAGAAGCCCCGGCUAACUUCGUGCCAGCAGCCGCCGUAA